rnacentral:rRNA from 1 species
GACGAACGCUGGCGGCGUGCUUAACACAUGCAAGUCGAACGGAAAGGCCCUGCUUUUGUGGGGUGCUCGCGUGGCGAACGGGUGAGUAACACGUGAGUAACCUGCCCUUGACUUUGUGAUAACUUCAGGAAACUGGGGCUAAUACCGGAUAGGAGCUCCUGCUGCAUGGUGGGGGUUGGAAAGUUUCGGCGGUUGGGGAUGGACUCGCGGCUUAUCAGCUUGUUGGUGGGGUAGUGGCUUACCAAGGCUUUGACGGGUAGCCGGCCUGAGAGGGUGACCGGCCACAUUGGGACUGAGAUACGGCCCAGACGCCUACGGGAGGCAGCAGUGGGGAAUAUUGCACAGUGGGCGGAAGCCUGAUGCAGCAACGCCGCGUGCGGGAUGACGGCCUUCGGGUUGUAAACCGCUUUCGCCUGUGACGAAGCGUGAGUGACGGUAAUGGGUAAAGAAGCACCGGCUAACUACGUG